rnacentral:rRNA from 1 species
GCCAUGCCGCGUGCAGGAUGACGGUCCUAUGGAUUGUAAACUGCUUUUAUACGAGAAGAAACACUGCUUCGUGAAGCAGCUUGACGGUAUCGUAAGAAUAAGGAUCGGCUAACUCCGUGCCAGCAGCCGCGGUAAUACGGAGGAUCCAAGCGUUAUCCGGAAUCAUUGGGUUUAAAGGGUCCGUAGGCGGUUUGGUAAGUCAGUGGUGAAAGCCCAUCGCUCAACGGUGGAACGGCCAUUGAUACUGCCAGACUUGAAUUAUUAGGAAGUAACUAGAAUAUGUAGUGUAGCGGUGAAAUGCUUAGAGAUUACAUGGAAUACCAAUUGCAAAGGCAGGUUACUACUAAUGGAUUGACGCUGAUGGACGAAAGCGUGGGUAGCGAACAGGAUUAGAUACCCUGGUAGUCCACGCCGUAGACGAUGGAUACUAGCUGUUGGAAGCAAUUUCAGUGGCUAAGCGAAAGUGAUAAGUAUCCCACCUGGAGAGUACGUUCGCAAGAAUGAAACUCAAAGGAAUUGACGGGGGCCCGCACAAGCGGUGGAGCAUGUGGUUUAAUUCGAUGAUACGCGAGGAACCUUACCAAGGCUUAAAUGUAGAUUGACCGGUUUGGAAACAGAUCUUUC